rnacentral:rRNA from 1 species
UCCUCUUCGGAGGACAAAGUGACAGGUGGUGCAUGGUUGUCGUCAGCUCGUGUCGUGAGAUGUUGGGUUAAGUCCCGCAACGAGCGCAACCCUUGAACUUAGUUGCCAUCAUUCAGUUGGGCACUCUAAGUUGACUGCCGGUGACAAACCGGAGGAAGGUGGGGAUGACGUCAAAUCAUCAUGCCCCUUAUGAUUUGGGCUACACACGUGCUACAAUGGACAAUACAAAGGGCAGCGAAACCGCGAGGUCAAGCAAAUCCCAUAAAGUUGUUCUCAGUUCGGAUUGUAGUCUGCAACUCGACUACAUGAAGCUGGAAUCGCUAGUAAUCGUAGAUCAGCAUGCUACGGUGAAUACGUUCCCGGGUC